rnacentral:lncRNA from 1 species
CACUGAUAGAGCAUCAAGCAUUCUUCACAGUAAUCUCACUAAAUCCUCAUUAGAACCCUGUAUUGUCACAUGAUUAUCUUUAUUUUCCAGGUGGGAGGAGAGGUGGAGAAACUCACUUGCCACAGGGGCAGGAAAAGAAGGACCUGGGAACUGAAACCACGUAUCUCUGGUUCUAACACCCAUAUUCUCAACCUAUGGCUAUACAUUGUCUCCCGCAGAUAGCCUUGAUCUAAAACCAUAUCUCCAUGGCGUCAGCAAUUCCGUAGAAGAACACUGACCCUUAGUAAGCAUUUGUUAUGCUGCCAGGAUCAGGCCAGUGACAUCACAAGCAUUAACCCACUUUAUCCUCCUGAUCCAGUAAAGCAGGUAUUCCUAGUUCUGGUUCAUAAAAGAAGAAAGUCAGCUAAUAGGAGUCAAGGAACUUGCCAAAGGUUAAAGUGUGGGUGGGACCAUUCCUCCUUUGCCUGACUUCCAAGAAAUGCCUUUGUAUGUUUCACCUCCCCCAUAGUGGCUUCAGGAAUAUGGCAGGAACAGAAAAGGAAUUGGAGCCAUGCACUAACCCAAUGGGGACAUCCAACGAGUCUUUCUAUUGGGUGUCACAUCAACAGAAGAAUAAGAGUCAGAAACUGGACCAUCCAGGUUAUAGCCCCUGUCGCAUGGUACACAAGAAUGGGAUCUGAGCUAAUAACUCCAUCUCUGAAAGCUCCAUCAAGUAGGAGAUCUGAGGUACCAAUACAAAACUUGGUUUUGACUGGGGAAUCCAAUCCUCUGCAAAGACCCAGAAGACGACAUCAUAAGUGGGAGAAAAAUCAUAAGGAACGUCUACUCAAGAUCAAUCUGAAAACAAAAAUUACAGAAGUAUGUAAUUAAAACAAUCAAGAAAGAUUACCUACAAGUUUAAUGAACAGAAGAAUUUAUUACUGAGAAAUGUUAACUAUUUGAGUCAUCUUCUAAUAAGGAGUUUAAUGAUCCAUAUUAAAUCCUCAAAACAAUAAAGGAAGAAAUCACAUUCA